rnacentral:tRNA from 1 species
CGCGGGGUGGAGCAGCCAGGUAGCUCGUCGGGCUCAUAACCCGAAGGUCGCAGGUUC